UUGGAGGGCAAGUCUGGUGCCAGCAGCCGCGGUAAUUCCAGCUCCAAUAGCGUAUAUUAAAGUUGUUGCAGUUAAAAAGCUCGUAGUUGAAUUUCGGGAUCAAUUUAUUGGUCGUGCCAACGGUACGCACUGGUACAAUUGGUUUCUCCCUUCUGACGAAGCAUGAUGUCAUUAAUUUGAUGUCGUGGGGAAUCAGGACUGUUACUUUGAAAAAAUUAGAGUGUUUAAAGCAGGCUUUGGCUUGAAUACAUUAGCAUGGAAUAAUGAAAUAGGACGUUUGAUCUUAUUUCGUUGGUUUCUAAGAUCGAUGUAAUGAUUAAUAGGGAUAGUUGGGGGCAUUAGUAUUCAAUUGUCAGAGGUGAAAUUCUUGGAUUUAUUGAAGACUAACUACUGCGAAAGCAUUUGCCAAGGAUGUUUUCAUUAAUCAAGAACGAAAGUUAGGGGAUCGAAGACGAUCAGAUACCGUCGUAGUCUUAACCAUAAACUACGCCGACUAGGGAUCGGAUGAUGUUAAUGUUUUAAUGACUCAUUCGGCGCCUUACGGGAAAC
rnacentral:rRNA from 1 species